GUUCACAAUCUCUCUCUCUCUCUCACCUCAAUUAACCACAAGGGGCUUGCCCUUUCCCUCCCUCUCUCUCUCUACAUUCAGAUCUCUCUCUCUCUCUCUACGUAUACGACGACUUCUCUGAUACACAGUUGCGGUGGUCUCUAAUUCGCUUGGUGCAGGUCGGGACAGCUUCGCUGGUGGCGGCGGCAAUUGAUUUUGCGUGCGAAUAUAUAUAUAUAUAUAUAUAUAUAUAUAUAUAUAUAUUUUAAGUUGGAGGCGAAUACAGUCCCGCCUUGCAUCAACUGAAUCGGAGACCGCGGCGAAUUACAAGUGGCUUGGGCUUGGUUUCAGAUCUAGGCCUGUUGCGAUUCGAAUCUGUCGUGGAUUCUAAGAUUUGUGUGCACUUCUUUUCGGCAUAUGACGUCUCAAACUGACUAAUUGGAUAUUUGGUGGUGUAAGAAAUAGCGCAGUCAUUUUGAUAGUGUAUUGAACGAAAGGUUAGAAGCUUCGCUUUUUUUCCAUCUUUGUACAUACUUAUUUUUCUUCACCUGACUUUUCAAACUGGCCCAUGUUAUAACGUUGAUGCAAUUAAUGGUAAAUAGUGCUUUCUAUUUCGAAUAAGUUGAAGGAUUUAUUAAUCAGGUCGCUGUCUGCCAUGUUUGUGCUUUACUUCUCUAUUGCAUGACUUAUUAAACUGACACAUUGGAAUUUGGAUGAUUGUUGAUGCAAGAAAUGGAAACUAAUGCAAACUAGAGUUUGGGUGCACGUGAAAAAUCAUCACUCUACGUUGGCAUGCAUUGUCCAUGAACAAAGACCGUAACCCUAUAUUUUAAUUUAGAUCAACAAGAAUCCGCAUCAUGUCAUCAGGAAUGCUCCAUGCCAUUUCAAUUUGCUAUUCCUCUACUGUUUUUAGUGUUUUUUUUGCAAACAGGAAAAUAAAUCUAGGAAAAUAAAUUUUGCACGCAUUCUUUGGCGCAAAAAACUAGGCUAGGAUAGAUCCAAAGAGAAAAAGAAGAUGGGCAGGACCCAUAUCUAAGGACAUGAAAACUGAAUUCGUAAGAUUUUUUGUUUUGUAAACUGCUGUUGGAUGUGUAGGCAGCUGUAGGAUGAUAAUGUUUGCAACUGUGGUGCUAAUUUACUUCGUUGUCCUGACAGUCUGUUCAUGCCACAUUAAUACUAAUUGUAUAAACUUUUGUUUUCUUGGACCAAAGCGAAAAUCAACUUUGUGACACAGCUUCACAAAAGUGUUCACACCAUAAUGGGUAGUCCCUUUCUUUAUUAGAAUGGAUGGAGCGAACUUGGACCCCUCGCUGGAGUAUCUAUACUUUUUUGGUAAGCUGAUUUCGUUAGGAAUCAAACAAACCAAACAAUAUGGACCAAGGUAUAGCCAUGCGAGUCCCUGAAACCCCAAAACAAAACACCACUAGAAUAAAUAAGAAGAAAACAAAAAUCAAAAUACAGCAGCAGCAUAAACUACACAAGAAUCUGAUACCUCUGAAUCUUCCAAAGACCAGCCAACACCAGGAUGCAAACCUGUCCACCAAGGCCAACACAGCACACGGGGCUCAGCUGUCAUUCCCAAGGACCCUUCGAGGCAUAUUCCUCUAUGUACAAGCUUGUUCUCAGUUGAUUGGGGAAUUGUACUCCAUGAGGAGAGAUAGGCCCUGAUAUGGCUUUCUAGUUUCAGAAUCACUUCUUCAAUAUCAUUUGGGUUCUAUUGAAAAAUUCUAAGGUUUCUCUCACUCCGGCCGUAGUAUAUAGAGCCAGAGAGAGAGAGCCUGAAACUGGUGGCUCUCGAAGACUUGCUUCCAACCAUAUGAUUAGCCCUAUUCACAAUUUCCAAGGUCCAGAGGAGCUCUACUAUCCAGUCUCAUCUGUGCAUAUGGCGCCAUAACUGAGAAGAGAAAGGACACCCAAUGAGAAGAUUGCUAUGAGAUUUCUGAGAACCUGUGCAAAGGACAUACUCAGCAUCAGUUGUAAAUUGUAAGUCUCCAAGUUGGCAGCCUGUCUUUAGUGGGGAACCAUCCUCGAAUCGCCAUCCAUUGAGUAGACGCUUGAAGUAGAGGUUGAACCAAGGCACAUCAGGCUUUUCCUUUCUAAUGGCAUUCCAAGCAGACAGAGUACUAUAUUCCCAAUUGAUGGCUCACCAGUCACCACUUUGUCUGGUAUAACAAUUUUGGCUUAGGUAGUGCUCCCCACUUGCAACCCCCUCCCCCCUCUAACUUUGAUUCUUAUAGGUUGUCAAAGCUAUACAGUGACAAUUGUGCUUUACCGCCUGUGUUUCGAUUGAGGUAUACAGCUCUAUUUAUUUCACCAAUGAUCCUUUAGUCAGCUAUUUGUUUUUUUUUUUUUUAUGAAGGUCAAGAGGGUAAUUUCACUUACCAACUCACCUAGGCAAUUGCUGACUAGGAAGAGGUUCAGUGAAUCCUUUAAACACACACACCGAAAACCCAAACUCUCGAUGUGGGAGCCAGCCCAACUGACGCAGGCCUAAGAGCCUCGCCAUGGAUUGCAGCACUAUGACAGACGGGCCCAAGGGGCUUGCACCAGAGGUCGGACACCACCACAACGGGUAGUAUUGUUAUGCAUUUUGUUUGAGUUUUAUCUUUGAGCAUAUGGGAAAAAAGUAAUUGCAGUUGUUUUGUUCUUUAUGGUGCCAAAUGAGGAGCAUAUAUUGGAGCACAUUAGUAUUUGACUAACUAUUGAGUUUGAAUAAUGGUGCUAAGAGCAUGUCUCUGCUGAAUAAAAUGCUUUGUACUCAUAUGAGGAGUUGGCCCAAUAUCAUCACGUGGUGUACAAUGCUCCCCUCAUGAGCAUGGAGUAGUUCAUUUGUAGGAUUGGGCUUUAAUUUCGGGAUGGUUCUACAUCAACAUGUCAACAAAUUUGCUGUCUCCUUUGGUGGUUAUUUUCUAAAUAAAUGCCUUUUAUUGCAGUUUUUUUAUGGGUUGAACAUGUUCAAAUUCUGAAAAUCAAACCAACUGGGGCUAGCUCAGUUGGUCAGGAUACUUGAAUUUCAUUAGGAGUUAGAAGUUCGAGUCUCUCCACCUGCGUGUGGGUGCUCUUUCCGUAGAGGGUUUUUCUUUCUUUCUACCUACCCUAUAAUAAUGGGCUUAUUUCUUGUAUUAGUUGAGUUGUUGGACUUAGUUAUCUCGUGGACUCUCACAGUUGAUGUAGUGUCCCAGGUUCUGUACUUCAUAUAUGAUGUAAAAUGAUCUAUUCUAUCAAUUGACAAAAAAACAAAAAAAUUCUGAAAAUCAAAAGAAUUCCUUUCUGGCUUUGUUUCACCAUAUCUCCUGUUAGAUGGUAGUCAUGUCCUCCCUUCCUUUGCAGUUCUCCUUAAGAAGCUUAGGGUCUAACCUCUUUCUUCAUUGCUGUCUUCUUUUUGUCUCUCGGCGUUUUACUCUUGUUGCUUUUUCUCUUCAGGAUUGUUUCUAUGGCAAAUUAUGAGUUUGGUUUGUAGAGUGCCAUCUUAAUAUAGAACAUUGCUCAUAUUUCAGCUGGAAUGUAUUGUUCAUAUUUCCAAUGCAAUGUUUUUAAAACGGGCGUGUGAGUGAAUCCGUUGACAAAGCACCAGUUUAAACUUUAAUGGCAUUAUUACUUCAUAAACCCAACGAACUAUUCGUGAACGACAGAUUAGUUGUUAAAUUAGUAGAAAAUUAAUUACCAAAAUAAAUACAAUAUUUUUACACCUAAGUUUCUAUUAAUGGAUGUAAAGGUACUUUAUUGUUUCUGUGGUUUUCAUAGCUUUUAUGCCAGGGUUGUGUUUAUAUUGCCGUUUAUCAACAACGUCAACGGUGACGUGGUGCAGAGGCAAUUAAUAGUGUGACCAUUGUUUCCUUCAUCAUCAAUUUAUGUUCAAGCCGCAGGAGCCACUAUACUCUUCUACUUCAAUUUCCUGUGGGUUUUACAACUGCUAAGUGGUGGGUGGUUCCGUUUAACCAGAAACCAUUUAAACGAAUCAACGGUCAACUAGUUAGCCAGUUUCAGACAGUUUGAUGUAGCAAACUGUUUUUAAACAAUUAUCCCUUGAUGGUGCAACCGGGUGAUCAGCUGGUCCGGUCUUGUUUGUAAGACAAUGAUCAAAUGAAGUUUCUUCCUUUUGUAAUGCUAGCCAAGUGUAUUGUACUUGUUUGUAGUGAACAACCCCUUACCUUUAGCUGCUGAGCAGAAAUGUUGGUUGGGAUUCUUGUAUUCUACUGAAGAAAGCAUUUAGGAAUGAUGGCAAGACCAAGCAGUUCUUUUUGAGAGCUUUUGACUUGACCUCUAUGGAUCGAACCUAAUAUAUGUUUUGGGCGGGGGAGAGCAUGUGAAGAUUGUAGGUGGUGAUAUUUUGUUUGGCCAACGGAGUUCUGGGAACAACUAGCUCAGAAGAACUGUUAAUACAAUAUCUAAUCCUUUUCAGGUGGAGAUCAUGUCUUUCCAGGUUUGUUGAAUGUUUUUAGCAAGUUUCUACACUUAGAUUGAAUGAAUCCCAUAGGUUUGUAAAUUCAAGGGUUUCAAGGAUGUUAAUGGUUUCUUGCUGGAAGUUGCUUACUUGUGCUAUCGUUCUGGAUUUGAUGAUUGGUUUCAUCCUCCUUCAAUAUUUCUGCUUAAGGAGAAAGCAGAAACAAUCACACUCUCCCACACACGUAUGUUCUGCACAAAAUCUACAUUUAUUUGCAUACCAACUUUUAUUUAGGCUGUAUUAGUUAACCAACAUUUAUGUGUAUACCAUCUUUUCUUUCGGGCUAUAUAGAUUCUGAGAUUUUUGGUUGUGCUCCUGUCAUCUUGUUUGAGUUUAUUUGACUUGUGCAUUUUAGUGAUUCUUUAUUGGUACCUGACCCUUGUGGCUAGAUUAAUCUGUGUUGCGUUUCUAUAGUAUUUAAAUCUUGUGGCUGGAUUAGUGUGUGCCAUUUGGUCAUUACGAAUUGGAGCGAGUUGUUGAAAGGUUACAGUGUUUCGUUCUGGCUAUUUUAACUUCUUUUUCCAUCAAAUGUCAUCAAAAUUAGAGGAUACAAGUGUCUGAUUUUGGUAUGGGUAUUGAACCCUUAUCCCACAUCCUUACCAAGCGUUAACACCAGUAGGAUAUCCAGAUCCCACAAAAGCAUAUGUUUAAGCACAUGUAGUUUAUAACUUAAUGCUUCAAAGGAAGCAGAUUAAAAGCAAAGCAAGCUCAGACAAAAUGGAUGCCCCUGGGACAUCAAGAAUCAGAGCUCGGCAUUCUCGAAGAAAUCAUCUGCAGGGACCACAAGUGAACAUCACCAGAGAUGACUGGAAGCCCUGCAGAGGUCAAAGAAGGGUCCGGCAUUGUUACUAGACUAUCAGAAGUUGGUCAUUUCAUCUUUGUGCAUAUUCCUUAUUGUGUGAAUGUUAAACUGCAGUGUGCUGUGUAAAAAAGAAGCAAAACUCAGUGCAGCACGUAAUCCAAGGUUAGUUCUUCCAUUUAGAAGAGUCCAUCUAACAUUGAUCGAAUCCUAGACUAUCGGAAGUUGGUCAUUUCAUUUUUGUGCAUAUUCGUUACUGUGUGAAUGUUAGAAGUUAGAACUGACAAACUGCAGUGUGCUGUGUAAAAAAGAAGCAAAAGUCAGUGCAGCAUGUAAUCCAUGGUUAGUUCUUUGUGUUUAGGUGAUCUAUGUCUUUCCAAUUCUAGCCGCCUUUGUACCUUCUAAGAAUAUAAUCAAGCAUUUGCGAUGCUUUUUUUUUUUUUUUUUGUAUUUUUUUGUUCUUCUCUUUUGUGCCUGCUUUAGCAGUGGUGGAUUCACCUUUGCAGUGGGCCUAAACCACAUACAGUGGUGCACCUGGUUUGAUACAGUUCCUAAAUGCAAUCACCGAGUUCACCCAAGGGAAAGAAGCUACUACACCUUCUGUUGUGGCAAAGGGAGCUCCUAUCCACAAGACAGCCUCCCUGCGUUACAUGUCUGCACCCUGAAUGCGAGGAAAUGCUCGACACUGACGGCAACAACAACACAAACAUGAUCUGCAUAUCUUUCUUUUUAUAUCAGAGCCAUUCGAACCAUCUUCCCCCACAUCAGCAUUGAAGAAGCUCCACCUUUGAAGUGCUGACUGCGUGUGUAUGGUGGUGUCACACUCGUGCACUCGGGCUACACCCUGAUGACACUGCUCGAGUUUCAUGUAUCUGUGUGCGGCAUGCAUUGUCUGGUGCCUCGUGGAUACUACGGCAACGUCUUCGCUAUCUGGCUGCAGUUUCGUUGGCGGGAAAGAUUUGCUCCUUUCAUUUUGGUACUCAAAAUGGGAGAAUUUGUAGUGUGCGCCUUCAAUUGGGAUGGUGGUCACUUUCAACUUUGUUGAAGUUUUGUCACCUCAAACCUAACUUGAGUUUCGAUUCAACGUAUACGAGUAAGAACAUGUGAAAUACUCUAAACUCUAAACAUAUUGUUGUCAAGGAUGUUGAACCGUAAACGUGAUUCGAAUGAACUUGUCAUGGUCACGGAGGAAUGUCUUUUGUUUGUCACAACUUAAAUAUGGAGCCCAGCUAUAUCAUCUUCUGAAGGUAUUCAUCAUCAAACUAGUAAUUUUGUUGACCAAAAUUUCACUUGGCAGCUAUUUUCAUGUUGUUGGAUCUGAAGUGUUUGAGAUCUUGGAUUAUUGGAGUUGAAUUGUUUCUGUUUCUUGCUUUUGUUAAAGGAUCAACUAGAUUUGCUC